AAAGAAGAGAAAAAGGGUAGUUGGAUAGGCUGCCCAAUGAGAACAAAUUGACCGUACGCUUACGUCACGUCACGUCACAAAUUUACGCACCAACUUCAAAGCUGGAUACCCUCCCUCUCCCGCUCACCAAAUCCUCCCCAAAGCCCAGAACUUCUCUUUCUCCAUAAACCCUAAAAAUCCAGACCACAAAAUUGGAAAAGUUUCCGUUCCGACGAAAGCAAGCAGCUUUUCCCAUAAUUCACAGUCGUCGCGGAAUUUUCAAACAGUAUCAGCAGUGGAUUCAGCUUCUUCACCGUUCAACGGGUCUGCAUAUUGUAUUGGUAUUUGUUGCGGACAAAGUGAUACUUUCUGGGGAUUAUAUAUUGUUGGUGGUUAUUCAUUUCAGAACCUAAGAAGUUAUGGAGAGACUGGAAUUACUCAUUUCAGAAAACCGCCACCUCAGAGAUUUGCUUGCAAAUAAGAAUAGGGAAGUUCAGUGUCUUUCACUUCAAGUUUCUGAAGCUGCUGAGAAAAUGAAAGAGUUGUGCGAAGAGAGGAGAAUGCUUCUUGGUGCUAACCAAGAGAAGUAUAAUGUUUUUUCUUUGUUUGAAGCAAAAGAAAGGGAGCACAAGCAACAAUUGGAAUCAAUGGCUGUGAAUAUUCGUGAAAUAUUGGAUCGUAUUCAGUUCUUAUAAGAUCAAUGAUACUUUAUCCGUCUGGUGUGCUAGAUUUUGUACCGGAUUUGAGCCUAGAUGUUGUUAGCGUUAAUUGAUAAUGUUGUUGAGAUGUGAGUUGAGUGCUUUCAAAUUA